UGUAUUAAAACCAAAAUAAUUAUUAAAACAUUAUCUGGAAAAUAUUUAGUUAACUAUAUAAGUUAUACAGUAUGCAGUAAAAUGUAGAGAGAAAUCUUUUUGAUUCAGUUUCACAUAAGAUUCAAAUUGAAUUGUGUUUUUAAUAAAAAAAUAUUGUUACAAAGAAGACACAAAUUAUUUAGGAAAAAUUAACAUCAGUAAUAAAUAAAUAAAAUAUUCUACAAUUAUAUAUAUAAUUCUAUAUGGCACAGUUGUUUUGACUUCAUACUGUUAAAAACCAGGGAUGCCAAUUGUAUGACAUCAUGAAUAAUCUACUCAUUUCAGUCCUUACGAAGUAAAAUUAAUAGGUGAUAAUGUAAAAUUUGCCUUUCUUAAAAUGUUUUUUAAUGUUUUUUUUUCUCUAAAAUUUUCAGAAGACCCCCUAGCAUAAUGGUUGUCAGCCUUUUUGACUCCAACUAUCCAUCAUGACUAUUCCAUAUCUAGAAAUCACACUUUUAAAAUUUAAAUUCAUUUAUCCAGGUUUUCCUGGUUCAAGCCUAUUUUAAUGCUUGUUUUGUCUUAAGUCAUCUUGAGGUACAUACUGAAAAUAUGUAGUUUGCACAUUUCUAUUAUAAACAAGAUUAAAUGCCCGGGCCACAAAACAAAACAGUCACCGAAAUCAGCAAGAAAAAAAUACUUUAGGUUAGAAAGACCCAGGGUCACACACACAGACAAAAACAAUGGAGGGCCCCAUUCACAGUUAGGAAAUGUGGCCAUGUUUUGAUCUACGGGCUGAGAACGGCCCUGUGCAGACUAAACAGUAGCGACCACAGCGGCCAGAGAAAAAGGGAGGAGAGGAGGGAUGGAGAAGUUUGGCACAAAUUCUAGGAACUCUGGGGGCCCCGUCCUCUCGCUCUUUCUCCUUCGGCCUUGGACUCCCGUAGAUAAAAUCACUGCGGGUCGGGGGGGGGGAGAGUAUGGGAUAAAAGAAGGGGACACAGACAGAAUGAGAGAGAGAACAAGAAAACAUAAAAAUGUGUGAGAAAAAAAAAAAAAAAAACACGGAAUGACAAGGAAACGCGCAAGCCCAUCCACGUGUUAAAACGCAUGACGCUACUGUGGCACCUUGGGAAACUGUGUGGUCUAUUAAAAAGAUAAACUGAAGUUUUAGGAAAGAUAGAAAUGGAAACAAUGUGAGAGUAUCUGAACAUUUUGACAACUAUUGAGAGAUGCUGGGGAUGUUUUUACAGAUUGGCUGCACCGAAAGUUGCGAUGAAGAAAUUAGCUAAAGAAAGGAAAUAUACAUGAUCCGGGGUCAUCUGGUCUCCAUUCUCUAUUCCAUUCUUUAAAAAUAAUAGAAAAGGUUGUGCAUAAACAGAUGUAUGAAUAUGUAUGAAAAGAUCAAUUUAUGAUUUUCAUAGGAGGUCUUAUUCAACAGAUCACUUGCACUUAAAAUACUCUGUCAUAAGUGGUCCUAAAGAUAAGAGUAAUACAUCUUUUGAAUCUGUGAAAAGUCUACUUUUAUUUGUGUGCACUCUCAAUAACAACAAAACGUUGUGCUAAAUCUUUAGUCAAGGGCAGCCCUAACAGAAUCUAUACUCUUUGGUUCUAAAUUCAAAUUGCGUAAAGUUGCUGAGUUGGAAGUCAAGUCGGUGACUGUGUAAUAUCAAAUAAAACUUCAGUUUAUUAUUUAUGUUGUGUUUUUGGCAACAAUUUAAAGGUAGGGUAGGCAACAUCGGAAAGGCUAGCAAUAGCAAGUUAGCUUUGAAAGCAUUAAAUCCCACCCUCCCUUCAGAGCGCUAUUCAAAGCAACGCCUCCUCCAAAACACAUGAACCCACACAACCAGAGCAGAGUCUGCAAAGCAUCACGAGAUGAGAGACAGUGUUAAAUUACCUCAUGUCUCAAAGCACAUCACAUUACAAUAAUAAUGAAAGUAAACAACUUGAGAUCCAACUUGUACCACCUGACUGCUGCAGAUUCAUUUUGGCAUUGAUAGUGUUGACAUAGAAACACAUAAAUCAGAGUCUGAGGACAAGAACAGCUCUGGGUAGAAUGUCACGGGUUGCCAUCUUGUAAUUACGGUUACGACAUGGCAUGAAUGCAGCAUAAGCUCAAUGUUUUUAAUUCAGGAGGAACUGUAAAAGGCGGCUGCUGUUUGUUUGUGGCACUCAGUGACUGUCUGUCUACAACUCUGCAUAGUCUUAUGGAACGCACUGAUGACGUGUGAUGUCUGUGUGAGCAGGGUGCGCGGAGAGAGUACAUCAGUUUCAGUUUGGAUCCAGCCUCUUAAGAAGACCUCAGAUGACUAAAACUUUGGAAAAGACGGCGCCAACUCCUGCGAUGACUUCAGAAGAUGCAACAUCUGGAUCAACAUGCACAUUCGCAAAUUUCUAUAUAUCCUAAUUAUUGUUAAUAUGUAAUUAAUUUUUCCAGGAGCUCUUUGCUUCUACCUUCAAUUAAAUUGCUAACAGUGAUUGUAUAUUAAUCGCCUAAAUUAUUACAUUAUUAGCUAACUGCAGUCUCCAAAUUGUAAUGUUGAUAUGCAUUCUCUGUAAAGCUGCUUUGAAACGAUAUGUAUUGUGAAAAGCGCUAUACAAAUAAAUGUGAAUUGAAUUGAAUUGAACAGUACAGGAGUGGAAUAAGUUACCUAUGGAUAUUAAAGGUUUAGUUUUAAAGUGAAAAGUUGGUUGUGAAGUUGUAUUUGUGCUGCGACAGCAUGCCAAUAUAUCCAUUGGCAAUAGUGUUGUUUUUGAAAUCAAGGAUCACAAUAGAAACAAGUUUUUUUUAAAGGGUUAGUUCACACAAAAAUGAAAACUUCAAAUUUCAAAAAAAAAAAAAAAAAAAAAAAAACACAUAAGACUUGCGCUCAUCUUCAAAACACAAAUGAAGACUUUUUAAAUGAAAUCUCAAAGAUUUCUGGCCCUCUAUGGACAGUCAGGAAAUCAACUACCACUUGCCUUUGUUGCUUCAUAAAGAGAUCGUACAACUAAUCCAUAUGAAUCGAGUGAGUUUUAACAUCUCAUUAUGAACUUUUUGAAGUGUCAAAGUGGUAGUUGCGUGGACUGCAUCUUACAUUUACAUUUAUUAAUUUAGCAGAUUCAUCUUUCAGAUUUCAUUAAAAUAUUAAAGUCUUAUGGGUUUGGAACGACAU